GCUGGCAAUGUACUCUGAAGUUCUGACACCUUAUACUGGCCACACUGGGAUCAGGAGACAGAGACCAGGAAGGAGCUCAUGGAUGGCACCCAGACAAAGCCUCUUUUACGCUGAGAAUCCAGCCAGUACAAAGCACAUCUCUGCUGACCUCAGACUUGAAGUGGGUCCCUGAAGAACAUUACCAGAAGCUGACCAGGAAGGACGUGUCCUAAAGCACAGCCAAGGGCACAGCCUCCGCUGCAGUUUUUGCUAAGAUGGGUUGCAUGUCCUAUUUGGCACCACGGACAGAAGACAGGCCGGAAGGGUGAAGUCCCGGGCUUGUGGGUUUCUGACAGGACAGUCCCCAAGCAGGGAGGCCAGCUUUGAACGGGAUAGAUACAGGAAAAUGGACCACAGAACUCGGCACUCCAUUCUCCAGACAAGAGUUCCUACUGUCCAUUCCGGCGUGGAUGUGGGGAACUAAAGAGGGAGCAGCCACUCUCCAGGGCCCAAAACUACAUGGAAGAGCUGAGCAACUUCAUUUGGAAUGAAGCUUUGAUGAGCCUGAAUGAAAAUGAUAAAGACAAUAAAAAUAUGGGCAGCUGCUGGAACACAAGGAAGGCCAAGGAGGCAACAGGACCCGAGAGGUGACAAGAAAGUAAACUCAACCCUAGAGACACCAACUCGUUAGCUAGGCGGUCAAGAGGACACAACAGGGUCAUUCAGAAAAAGCUCCCUAGCUAUAAAAGCUCUCGGGUCCGGUCCUCAGUGCAACGAG